GUUAUGUAGUAAAUAAAGACACUGAUGAGUUUUUCUUAUUUAAAUAUUGUCAAAUACUCUAAUAUAGUCCUAUACUGCCAUAAUAGCUGUGAUGGUGGAAUAGACACUAGGGUUCUGUGGUGCCUACUAUUUGUUGUAGGACAUCUUGUUCCAGCUUGACGUUGGAUCCCCUCCUUAAGUGUGCUGUGUAAAAAAUUCAAAUGAAAAGCUGUGAAAGCAAUGAAAGCUGUUUUUGUCUCCAAAGAACACCCCAACCAGAACCCACAUCUGAAGGAUCACAAUGUGCCCAUAAUUCUACAGCAGACACAUAUACCUCACCGGAGGAAAAGGAAGAUCUGGAAUUGCUUGAGAGAGCACUGGAGAAAGCUCUUCAGGUUGUGGGACAAAGUCAAUGCUCUGCAAAAGAAGCCUGUGCCUGAGAGGAGUCACUUCAUAGAGCGAAUGAGAGCUACGUUCCCGAAGGAUUGGCCAAGCGGAAGUCCAGAUCAGAUCAGGGCUCUGGUCGACAGACUGACUCACCAAGGCCGUGACCUCAUCCAGCACUGCCAGACAAAGAAGCUGCUGGCCAAAUACGCCUCUGAAGGGACCACAGAGCUGGCAGCAGAAAAUGGGAAUGAUAGUGAUCAAGCACUUGAAAGCUUGCAAAAGACAGCAGAAGAAAUCCAGGACUGUGCUCACCAAGUCAAAAAAGAGUGGGAAGCAUGGGAUCGAUGGAAGCCAGAGGGAGGUUGUCUUUUCCCCACUGGGGCAAAUACCAUGUGGGGAGUUGAGGCUAUUGCACCUCUGCCGCCGACUAUAACUUACACAAGCGAGGAAGAGCUCAGGGAGCUGGAGAGUCUGAGGAUGCGAGUGGCACUGCUGCAACAACAGGUUUACCUUGAACAGGCUCUGUCGGACACCCUGUCCCCUCAGCUCUCCUCUUUAUUAGCUGGACCUGGAUGUCCUAAAUCCAGUGUCCUGAGAGAUUUAUACUCCCUGCUUGGUGAAGGGGGCGAACGUUUUCCUUCUACAGUCCUGGACUGCGACACUGAUUGA
rnacentral:lncRNA from 1 species